AUUGAACGCUGGCGGCAUGCCUUACACAUGCAAGUCGAACGGCAGCACGGGAGCUUGCUCCUGGUGGCGAGUGGCGAACGGGUGAGUAAUGCAUCGGAACGUGCCCUGAAGUGGGGGAUAACGUAGCGAAAGUUACGCUAAUACCGCAUAUUCUGUGAGCAGGAAAGCAGGGGAUCUUCGGACCUUGCGCUUUUGGAGCGGCCGAUGUCGGAUUAGCUAGUUGGUGGGGUAAAGGCCCACCAAGGCGACGAUCCGUAGCGGGUCUGAGAGGAUGAUCCGCCACACUGGAACUGAGACACGGUCCAGACUCCUACGGGAGGCAGCAGUGGGGAAUUUUGGACAACGGGCGCAAGCCUGAUCCAGCCAUGCCGCGUG
rnacentral:rRNA from 1 species